GAUCAAGCGACUAAGUGUAUGUGGUGGAUGCCUUGGCGAUCACAGGCGAUGAAGGACGUGACAGCCUGCGAAAAGCUGUGGGGAGCUGGCAAAUAAGCUUUGAUCCACAGAUGUCCGAAUGAGGGAACUCACCUGCUUUGCAGGUAUCCCAUCCUGAAUAUAUAGGGAUGGGAGGCGAACGAAGCGAACUGAAACAUCUAAGUAGCUUCAGGAAAAGAAAUCAACCGAGAUUCCGAAAGUAGCGGCGAGCGAAAUCGGAUCAGCCCAGCACUCGAUAGCAGCCAACUUACGGGAACGGGCUGGAAAGUCCGGCCAUAGGGGGUGAUAGCCCCUUACUGGAAAAGGCAGCUGUGGUACUAAGUGUGCGAUAAGUAGAGCGGGACACGUGACAUCCUGCGCGAAGAUGGGGGGACCAUCCUCCAAGGCUAAAUACUCGUGAUCGACCGAUAGCGUACCAGUACUGUGAAGGAAAGGUUAAAAGAACCCCGGGAGGGGAGUGAAAUAGAUCCUGAAACCGCAUACAUACAAACAGUAGGAGCCUCGUUAAGGGGUGACUGCGUACCUUUUGCAUAAUGGGUCAGCGACUUACGUUUAAUGGCGAGCUUAACCGUAUAGGGGAGGCGCAGCGAAAGCGAGUUCGAACAGAGCGUUCAGUCGUUAGGCGUAGACCCGAAACCAGAUGAUCUAUCCAUGGCCAGGUUGAAGGUGUGGUAACACACACUGGAGGACCGAACCGACUAGUGUUGCAAAAUUAGCGGAUGAGCUGUGGAUAGGGGUGAAAGGCUAAACAAAUCUGGAGAUAGCUGGUUCUCCCCGAAAACUAUUGAGGUAGUGCCUCGUGUAUGACUCCAGGGGGUAGAGCACUGUUAUGGCUAGGGGGACAUGGCGUCUUACCAAACCAUGGCAAACUCCGAAUACUUGGAAGUUUGAGCACGGGAGACAGAGCACCGGGUGCUAACGUCCGGACUCAAGAGGGAAACAACCCAGACCGCCGGCUAAGGUCCCUAAUAUUGACUAAGUGGAAAACGAAGUGGAAAGGCUAAGACAGUCAGGAAGUUGGCUUAGAAGCAGCCAUCCUUCAAAGAAAGCGUAAUAGCUCACUGAUCGAGUCUUUCUGCGCGGAAGAUGUAACGGGGCUAAGUCAAUAACCGAAGCCGCGGAUUCACACUUGUGUGUGAGUGGUAGGGGAGCGUUCUGUAAGCCUGCGAAGGUGACUCGUAAGGGUUGCUGGAGGUAUCAGAAGUGCGAAUGCUGACAUGAGUAACGUUAAAGCGGGUGAAAAGCCCGCUCGCCGUAAGCCCAAGGUUUCCUGCUCUACGUUCAUCGGAGCAGGGUGAGUCGGCCCCUAAGGUGAGGCUGAGAAGCGUAACUGAUGGGAACAAGGUUAAUAUUCCUUGACCACCGCUGAAUGCGAAGGGGGGACGGAGUAUUGAAGAUCAUCCGGGUGUUGGAUAUCCCGGUUUGCGAGCGUAGGAGGCUGACAGGCAAAUCCGUCAGCGAAUCUCCGAGGCGAAGCAUCGAGCUCUCUUUUGAGCGAAGUGAUUGGAUGUGCUUCCAGGAAAAGCCUCUAAGCUCCAGUUCAGCGGGACCGUACCGCAAACCGACACUGGUGGGCGAGCUGAAUAUGCUCAGGCGCUUGAGAGAACUCAGGAGAAGGAACUCGGCAAAUUGACACCGUAACUUCGGGAUAAGGUGUGCCUUUGUAGCGUGGAGGGAGAAACACCCCGAGCGCGAAGAGGUCUCAGAUAAUCGGUGGCUGCGACUGUUUAUUAAAAACACAGCACUCUGCAAAGACGAAAGUCGACGUAUAGGGUGUGAUGCCUGCCCGGUGCUGGAAGAUUAAUUGAUGGGGUGCAAGCUCCUGAUCGAAGUCCCAGUAAACGGCGGCCGUAACUAUAACGGUCCUAAGGUAGCGAAAUUCCUUGUCGGGCAAGUU
rnacentral:rRNA from 1 species